GCUUACGGCCAUACCAGCCUGGGUACGCCCGAUCUCGUCUGAUCUCAGAAGCUAAGCAGGGUCGGGCCUGGUUAGUACUUGGAUGCGAGACCGCCUGGGAAUACCAGGUGCUGUAAGCA
rnacentral:rRNA from 1 species